CUGCCAAACUGUAAAUAAACCAAGACCAUUACAGGAAAUUCUAUAGACUUUUGCUGACGAAUACACAAAAGCAGAAUAUCAAACAGACAUCCUCCCCUUGAACAAUUUGCAUACAAACAACAUUAUUUCAUACCCUGAAGACACUGCAAUUUAAAGCUUUUGGAACUCAAAUUGAUUCUGGAAGCAAUGCUAUAACUACAGAGGCGCCGUGGCAAUCGUGAUCUUCUGAAGGGCAUCAAACCGCACCUCGAGUAGCACAUUUGAAAGCAAACACGGGCUCGUGUGCACACACAGCCACCCGAAGUCCUGCCCAUCAAUUUGCGAGCUUUUACUGAAAUCUCAGAACACAUCAGCUAACAAAAAAAGUCAACUGCAGAGGAAAGCUGUGCCAACAAUGUGGGUAUGUGAAGAGGUGACAAGUCUGGAAUAAAAGUCAGAGGGGUCGGUCCCCAGGCCCACCAGGCAGUUUCUUCCAGGGGGUGAGUCGUGGCCGAGGGAGUGAUCAUGGGCGUGAUGUGGGCUGCAUGUUAUUGUCUCCAAGGACACGCACGUUCAGUAACAUCAGAGAGCACACACUUGGACUUGGGGGUGCGGGCAGGAAGGACUGAGCGAUGCUCCGUUUUCAGGGAGGUCAGGAGCAGACACGAGGACCUAAAGCAGAAAACCCGGGCCUUCUGUCUAUUCAGGGGCAGGAUUCUGCCCCAUCCAGGGUCUCCAGCAAGGAGUGUGAGGCCAGAGAUGUCACCCCCGGUCACUGGGGCGGCUGUCCAUGCUUUAGACGGGCUGUGUGUCUGGAAUCUGAGCACCCGUGGCCAGCUGUCCACACACUUGGGGAGAGCAAGUGGGAAUGCUUGCCCCCAGGCUGCCGCAGGGUGCCCAUCGGGCCCUGACUUGGUACCACGUUUAGAUCAGAGCAUCGUGGGAUGCAGGGCGUGGGGGGACCAACUCGGGGCAGCAGGUGCAGGGCCCCAGCAGCACUGAGCUGCCACCAGCCCGUGGGGUCCGGAGCCGGGAGAAAGCCCCCGGGGUCAUCCAACCAGAAGGAAGGAAGCUGAAGGCGAAUGCAGAAGCAGCUCAGCAGAAACGGAAGAUGUGUAUGUGCCUGUGUAUGCAUGCAUGUGUGUGUACGUGUGUGUAUGCAUGCAUGUGUGUGAGUAAGGAGAGCAGUGAGUGUAUGAGACCGAGGGGGGACAAGGACACACGUUGUUUUCUGCAGAGGUCUUUUGACUCCACAUUAUUUUGGAAGAAAU